GUCCACGCCCUAAACGAUGUCAACUAGGUGUUGGGAGGGUAAACCUUUAGUACCGGAGCUAACGCGUGAAGUUGACCGCCUGGGGAGUACGGCCGCAAGGUUAAAACUCAAAGGAAUUGACGGGGACCCGCACAAGCGGUGGAUGAUGUGGAUUAAUUCGAUGCAACGCGAAAACCUUACCUACCCUUGACAUGUCCGGAAGCCCUUAGAGAUUUGGGUGUGCUCGAAAGAGAGCCGGAACACAGGUGCUGCAUGGCUGUCGU
rnacentral:rRNA from 1 species